GAUGCUGCAGCCAGGAGGAACAGGAAGUUUUCGACUGGAUGGAUGGACCAAACAUCCCUUGCAUGUCCACUCUAGGAAAACAAGGAAUGUUGUACUUGACUGCUCCAAGUGGAUUACAUCCCACAAUUCUGACUGAACACAACAAAGAGCUUUCAUGAGGGUGAGAACCGUUCAGCUAUGGAACCGACUCCCUCAGAAGGUGGUGGACUCCCCUUGCUUGGAGAGGUUGGAUGGCCACCUGUUGGGGAUUAUUUAGCUGCAUUGCAGGGGUUAGACUAGAUGACCCUCAGAGAUCCCUUCCAGUCUUACAAUUCUAUGUUUCUAUGAAUGGGUGCUGUGGGAAGGGGUACAUUCAGCAACGGAGGCAAGAUUCCUGGCCUUCCCACAUUAUGGCGGCCCCAUUUUGGUCAUCAUUGCUGCUAUCUCUAUCAGCACACUUGUGAGCUGCAAGCCAUUUUAUUCCUGUUUAAAGGAAUGUAGGUCUUUCAGGACUGCAGUGAUCAUUCUAUGAUAAUAUGGCGGUGGAUAAAGCUGUAUUGCAACUUUUGAGUGUUUGUUUGUUUUCUUGCUUGCUUGUUUUAAAAAACAAACAAGUGCUCCAUGAACUCUGUAAACUGACAUGAGCACAACAGCACCCUGCGUACCUGUGCCUCAGCUGGUACCCCAAAGUGUUGUUUCUCUGGCAGUGGAAGUAGAGCACAGACACUGUGGCUGGUACCUAUUGUUCUCUGAUUGGUUGGGAUCACCAAAGUGACCAUCCCUAGGGUUACAUAAAGGGAAGAGAUGCACAAAGAGAACAGUGAAACAGUGUGGGAAACUCACAACAAAGCCUUAAAUUCGGAUUAUGAAAACAUUCCACAUAGUGCCAAAUUUCUCAUUUCUGUGACAUCUUUUCUCAGUUUGAUGCAGGCAGGAAAAAACAGAAGAAUGCAUGCAGCAAAUGGCAAAUUCACUACUCUUGGAACGAUACCCAUAAAUUUUGCAGCCAGAGGUGGCACGUCUUGCUCUGCCCAACAGCAGGGCCAGACCUGCACAGGGAAUCCAGGAGGUGGCGGUGUGAUGGCCUGGGGUUCGGAUUCAGAAGAUGAACCUGAGGAAUCCUGGGCAUGAGCCUGAAGGGUCCUCACCUGUGCUGGAUCCUCAGGUGCAGGCACCAGCUGAGUCUGCUCUGGCUCCUGAGGUGAUGGAGGACCCAUUGCCUGCAGUUGCUCCACUCUCAGCCCCGUCAGAGGAAGCUGAGGUUGCCUCUGGGUCUGGUAACCCUCCAGCCUCUCCUGAGCUGCAGAGACUCAGGGCAGAGAGGCGGUGGGAACUAAGUUCCCGCAGGAGGAGUGCUCGCCUCCAGGCCAGGAGAGGCGAGUCACCAGAGGAUCGGGGCCACCCUAUGCCUCGGGGCGGAUAAAAGCAAGCCAGCCCAGUCCCAGGUUGCAGGAGCAAUGUUGGUGGUUGUCAGUUCCUGCCUGAACCCUGCCCUGCACCCAGCUUCGACUUUUACGGACUGCCUUCAUAUUGCUUCAUCGACCACGGACUGGACUUGGACCUUGCCUCUUGUUUGACCCCUGGGACCAGCACAGUUGUUCUCGGCACAUAUACCACCCCCCCCCCCAUGGAAAGACUGGUGGAAAAAGUCAAGAGAUUUGGCAUGGUUUUCCAAAAGCUUUCAAAUAAUUACCGAAUAGAGGGCAAACAGACACUUCACACUUGAUUAGCUAAUCCAUAUUACGGCUCCAUUAAACACACAAUAGCAUUUUCUGCCAUCCCCCCCCCCCACUCCCUACCACCCGCCAACCCCUUUAAAAAAAUUUCCAAGGGUGGGCAUUCACUCAAGUCAUCAGCGCUAAUUGCUGGUAAAACAGAAACAAAGCUCUUAAAAGGGAAAUAGCUUUUGAAGGUCUAAUCUGAUUAAUUAAGAGAGUUAAUUGUUUCCAUUUUAAGCAAGCGGGGAAGGGGAGGGCAACCUCCCACAAAAUUAAUAUUUAUUCAUCUUAAUGCAUUGUCCCAGGAACCGACACAACCUGGUUUUCACGAGGAGCUUGCAAACUCCUCCUGGGUAAACAGGAAGGAGAGAAGCGGUGUUCUCCACUAAUUAAGGGUAUGCUGUUCCCAACCUAACGGGUCUCAGUUUUAAUCACAUGCUGGAAAUUGUAUGCAGAUGAAAUCAAAAGAGCAGUUCUCCCCAGAGACAAAGGCAGAGAGCAGGGAGUCUAAAAAUGCUCAUCUCAAGCACGUAAAUGCAGCGUGGGCAAAAAAAGUCAGCUGUCGUUCAAAGUUGUACCCUCCUCCUGCCCAGUAGAUCCCUUUGCCCCCCCCCCCAUAAGGCAAAGUUGAUUGGCGUUGCCAUUUAUAUGGUAUGUAUAUGCAGGGCCAGAUUGAGGUUUGAUGAGGCCCUCAGCUCCUGAAGGUAAUGGGGCCCUUUAUAUGUCCAGCUGUCCUUUGUCAACAACAAAUUGAUGCUGUUUUUUGUGUUGAAUAUAUGCUAUAUGGUAACUGAUUGACCUCAUAGGUAUCUCAAGCCAUUUGCACAUAACAAAAUAUGUAUUUUAUCAAAGUAAUUGUUGAACUGAAAUACAGUUAAGAAGAAGUAUAUUAAUAGUGAAAUACAAUUAAGAAGUACUGUAUUUUUUGCUCUAUAAGACUCACUUUUUCCCUCCUAAAAAGUAAGGGGAAAUGUGUGUGUGUCUUAUGGAGUGAAUGCAGGCUGCGCAGCUAUCCCAGAAGCUAGAACAGCAAGAGGGAUUGCUGCUUUCACUGCGCAGCAAUCCCUCUUGCUGUUCUGGCUUCUGAGAUUCAGAAUAUUUUUUUUCUUCUUUUCCUCCUCCAAAAACUAGGUGUGUCUUGUGGUCUAGUGCAUCUUAUAGAGCGAAAAAUACGGUAUAUUAACAGUGAAAUAAUUAUUAAGCUCUAACUUAUAAUGUUUUUUUUUUAUUCAUAACAAACUUAAUAAUGCAAACACACUGGCAUUUGGCAAUAACAAAAGUUCCUCUAGAAACACAAUUUACAAAGACUCAUCAUCUAGUCUCUAGAAACUUGCUAUAACAUGAAAUAAUAACAGGUAUAAAUAUAUGAUGCAAACUACUAAUAAUUAUAAAUAGCAGAAUGUAGGCACCCUAUAUAUAGAAAGGAGCAAACCGGUGAUAUUUGAGGGAGCAGGCUAGCAGGCGGGGCCCAUGACUUACAUCCUAGGAGCCUACACAACACAAAACACUGUUGCUGCAUGUAGGUUUUAUUUUAUUUGUUUUUAUCUUAUAUUUUGGAAAUGUACAUCCAGGUGUGUUUUUUCCCUUUAAUUUUUUUGGGGAGUGGGGCCCUAAGCUAGAGCUUGUUUAGCUUAUACGUAAAUCCGUCGCUGUGUAUAUGCAACGUCAUCAGAUCGAUUUUGCAGGGCAAGGUAUACCUGCCCACUCCCCCCCCCGCAAUAUUUUAUUCAAGUCGACACCCCUGCAUAGACUUAUAGAUCUGGAAGGGACACCGAGGGUCAUCUAGUCCAACCCCCCCCUGCAACUUCUAGUCUGAGAGACUGGCCUGGUCUUAUGAAGGCAGCGUCUCUGAAGACAAAGGCAGGGAGUGCCAACCUCAGGGCAAAGGCAGGCUUCAGGAAGUGCAACCGGUUCUGUCGCACAGUAUCGUGCGGAAGGUCUUGGGUUCGAUCCCUGGGAACAACUUUGGAUAGGGGUGAGGAUGUUAGUUUCUGUUUCUCACUGAGCAGCUGCAUGGAGUCAUAGGACUCUGUUUACAUUCCUGGGAUUCCAUACUAUUGGAGUCUCAUGGGAAAGGAGACGGGAUGUGACGUUAGUGGUUUCCUGUUUCCUUUGUUCCUUUGUUCAGUUGCUCUCUGCUUCCAUAGAGAGAAGAUGUCUUUUCUGUUCUGUGUAGCUAGAAAAUAAAACGCUUUAAAAUGUAGCUCAUACUGUCUAAUCCUUCCCUGUGCUGGGAACUCUGCUGAUUGAAGAAUGUGCUUGGAGCCUUAUCAAAGGCUCAGGUCAUUAAGCACGUCGGAGGCGGUUUCAAAGGCUCGGUCGAACAGAGCUGCCGACAGAGAGGUGUCCCCACCUGAAACCCUGGAGAGCAACUGCCAGUCAGUGCAGGGAAUACUAAGCCUGAUGUGGACCAAUGCUCUGAUUCUGUAUUAUGCAGCUCCCUACGUACCUAUUUUAAUUUAUUUGCUUCCCAAUAUUUAUGGACCCUUUUUAUCAUGGAUGCUAUUAGUGCAAGGAAGGAGGUCUUCUGGAGUAUAACUGGAAUAAUAAUAAUAAUUAUUAUUAUUAUUAUUAUUUCUCUGAAAACAGAGGGUAAUUGUGAAACCAAAUAUGCUGUCCUGCCUGCAGGUGAAGACGUUGUUAUUCCAACUGGCUUUGGGGAACUGGCUGCUUUUAAUGAAAGGGACAGUGCCAUGCUAUUUUAAUUGCAAUUAUUUGUAUGGUUUUAAUAAAUUUUAUAUAUCUAUAUAGUUUUCCUUAUUGACGUUUAACUGCUUUUUAAUGAUUGCUUUGUUCUUCUAUGUUUUCAUGGUUAUUAUUUUUAUCUAUAAGCGACCUUGAGUCCCAUCAGAAAAAGGUAGGGUACAAGUAAAUUAUUAUUAUUAUUAUUAUUAUUAUUAUUAUUAUUAGCUACAGGGUGAAACUAGUUCUGCCUUUUGCUGCUAAUUUGAGCAGAGAAAAUGAAAUCCUGCACUUGCACAAAUUUAAAUAAGCCUCCGGUGCGACAAUUGGGGUUAUUAUAUUUUUAAUUAGCAUGUCUCUCUUUAAUGGCAGGCUUUUUGAUUAUUUUUUAUUAUAGCUCUGAUGAUGGGUUUGUUUGCCCUGCUUGUGUUUAUUUUACCUUGAUCUUUCACCAGGCUUGCUCCUUCCUUCUUCCUCACCUGUUGCUCCCUGGAACCUGCUCUCUCGCUCAUUAGAAGGACCAAUCAAAACGGAGAUUGACCUAAGAAGAUGCGGCGGGCAGGAAACCUGGUAACGAACGUGGGCACCCUGUGCACUUUCCUGAUGUCGGCGGUUCAAGCCAAGGGCGCGCCUGAUGCUGUUUUCACAGAUGCCCAGGACCUGAUUCUCAGCAAUUGACAAUCUGCGGCAGCCUUGCGUUAUCCAACAGGCAGUCUAAGCACUUUCAUAAAGCACCAGCAAAGCAGUGGCACACACAAA